GGAAAGAUGAAAAGAACUUUGAAAAGAGAGUCAAAGAGUGCUUGAAAUUGUCAGGAGGGAAACGAAUGGGGGUCGGCGAUGCGUGCUGGUUUGAUGUUGAACUACUCACAUACAGGGUAGGUUAGCCACUUGGCUCGGCACGUGGAUCGUUGCGGGCUGUGCUUGCGGUCCAAGCCUUGGGCAUUUGAUUUGCUCGAGGUAACGCCGUUGGUGCAGUCGAGGAUACAGUGCACGCUUCAAUGGCGCGUCGCUUGCGGCGCACUUGUGCGCUCCUAGCACUGUCCAGUGGGCUCCCCAUUCGACCGUCUUGAAACACGGACCA
rnacentral:rRNA from 1 species